GUGUACGUACAAGCAGUGGGAGCACCCUUUUGGGUGUGACUGCGUACCUUUUGUAUAAUGGGUCAGCGACUUAUAUUCUGUAGCAAGGUUAACCGUAUAGGGGAGCCGGAGGGAAACCGAGUCUUAACCGGGCGUUAAGUUGCAGGGUAUAGACCCGAAACCCGGUGAUCUAGCCAUGGGCAGGUUGAAGGUUGGGUAACACUAACUGGAGGACCGAACCGACUAAUGUUGAAAAAUUAGCGGAUGACCUGUGGCU
rnacentral:rRNA from 1 species